rnacentral:rRNA from 1 species
GGCUCAGAUUGAACGCCGGCGGCAUGCCUUACACAUGCAAGUCGAACGGCAGCACGGGGGCAACCCCUGGUGGCGAGUGGCGAACGGGUGAGUAAUGCAUCUGGAACGUGCCCAGUAGUGGGGGAUAACCCGGCGAAAGCCGGGCUAAUACCGCAUACCACCUAGGGGUGAAAGCGGGGGACCGUAAGGCCUCGCGCUAUUGGAGCGGCCGAUGUCUGAUUAGCUAGUUGGCGGGGUAAGAGCCCACCAAGGCGACGAUCAGUAGCUGGUCUGAGAGGACGACCAGCCACACUGGGACUGAGACACGGCCCAGACUCCUACGGGAGGCAGCAGUGGGGAAUUUUGGACAAUGGGCGCAAGCCUGAUCCAGCCAUGCCGCGUGCGGGAAGAAGGCCUUCGGGUUGUAAACCGCUUUUGGCAGGAACGAAACGGCGCGAGCCAAUACCUCGCGCUAAUGACGGUACCUGCAGAAUAAGCACCGGCUAACUACGUGCCAGCAGCCGCGGUAAUACGUAGGGUGCAAGCGUUAAUCGGAAUUACUGGGCGUAAAGCGUGCGCAGGCGGCUUUGCAAGACAGGUGUGAAAUCCCCGGGCCUAACCUGGGAACUGCAUUUGUGACUGCAUAGCUAGAGUCUGUCAGAGGGGGGUGGAAUUCCACGUGUAGCAGUGAAAUGCGUAGAGAUGUGGAAGAACACCGAUGGCGAAGGCAGCCCCCUGGGAUAAGACUGACGCUCAUGCACGAAAGCGUGGGGAGCAAACCGGAUUAGAUACCCUGGUAGUCCACGCCCUACAACGAUGUCUACUAGUUGUCGGAGGGUAAAUCCUUCGGUAACGCAG